UUUCUUUUCUUUUUUUUUUCCUUUAUUAAAUCAUUAUGUUUAACUCCAUUAAGGUUAGAGUGAAUCUGAAGUUACACGCGUACAGGCGCACACAGCACACCCUAAAUAGCUUAUUGCAUAAUCCCACAUAGCGUGUGCAGUAAUGUAGCAUGCAGUGGUCUGCUAGGAUCCCACACUGGACUUUUGUUUUAUGCAAGAAGGAGAAGAAGAAGGAAAAAAAAAAAAAGCUUUCAGUGCUGCCUUUUCUUGACUUUCAAAUGGUGAUUUUUGGUAGUGAGUAUUGAGCACAGCAUGAAGUGCUACAAAAUGUUUUCCUACUAUCGCAUCCAGGACUGAGGAGAGACGAUUUAUAUUUGUGAGCUGGUCCUGCCCAUCACGGUGCGUGGAAGUGUUAGAAAACAGACUGCGGUGUUAUCCAGACCUAAGAAAGAUGCUCCUGGCUUUAUAAUGGAUAUUAAACACUCUGUCACAAGGGCGUUGCGUGCAGUGCAAUUUUUUUCUGAAAUAAGUGUAGCAAGAAAUCCGUGCCAAGCAUCUGACACCGCAUGCAGAGAAUUAAACGCUACUCGGUCCUUCUUCUGCAGGACUUCAGAUCUCUCCCAUGGGGUAAUUGCUGUCCUACUGUGUGCAGACUUAAACCACGAGGUGACAUAAAAUAAAAGGACCCUUUCCUGGUAACAUCGAACAUCAGACUCCAGUCAAGACAGAGUGAAUUUUUCCUGGCAGCUUCACGAUGCAGCCUGCUUCCAACCUGAGAUGGUCCUGGAGAACCCCAGCUCCUUCCCUGGGAGCCUGCAAAUGAUGGCCAGAACUUGCAUCUCACGGCUUUGGAUGAAACUCUUUCAGAAAAAAAUGAACCAGAAUCAAAAUCCAAAGCUCAGCCUCAUGUCCACUUCCUUCUCGUUUGGCUCCCUUGCGUGAGUAGGUGGGAAAGGGAGGCUUUCAGAUACACUCUUCGUUUUGCCCUUUCCUGCCAGAGGUGUUCCCAUCUCCCUGGGGAGGUCGCAGCACUGGGAGGCACCCUCGCC
rnacentral:lncRNA from 1 species